CAGCUGUCGGAGAGCAACGGGAUGAGCAACAGUCUGAGUGAAAACCUUCACAUUUCUACUUCGAUCUUAAGAAAGCCAUACAGGUUUGGAACCAAGUGAAAACGCAGUGAUGACCAGCUUUCCAUCAGCUAUGGAAUGUGAAAUAAAAAAUGCUAUUUCUAAUCAUUUCAAACAAGCACCAGGGAGGGCAGGGGGUGGGGGUUAUGGAUCUAAAGUAAACAGUUAAUUCUUAAAAAUUAAUUGUUUUACAUAUUUUUCCAAUGUUUUAUUUGUUCAUUUUUAUGUUUGAAUGUUGUCCAAGUUGUUGUUGUCUAUAUAAUUGUUCAAAAUAAAUCCCUUUAUAUUCAAUUAGUUUGGAUGGAUUUUAAUUUAUGAGAACCUGUUAUAUUUGAGUGAAAAGAAUCCUUAUGCCUCUUUUUGUUGUCUAUUACAUGUAUAUGUAGUGUAAUGGAUGACUAGUAUAUUCUUGGGCUAUGGUUAGACGUCUAUUAGAUUUUCACUGACAGCCCAAAAUCAGCCUUGUUUUAGCCUAGACCCAUAUUGCCUGUCUAUUAGACGUAUGUAGUUGUUUAGCGGUCUAAUUGAUGACUAGUCUAUUCUUGGGCUAUGUUUAGACGUCUAUUGGACGUAUAAAUAUAGUCGUUCAAUAGCUGUCUGAUUGUCUAUUCUUGGGCUAUGGUUAGACAUCUAUUAGACGUAUAUAUGUAGUCAUUUAAUAGCUGUCUAUUCUUGGGGUAUGUUUAGACGUCUAUUAGAUUUUCACUGACAGCCCAAAAUUAGCCUCGAUUUAGCCUAGACGUCUCGGCUGUGUUUAGACGGCUAUUAGACGUCUAUUAGACGCAAAAUUGCUU